AGUUGCCACCUUGAGCAGACCGGUUUGGAGAGCCAUCUUAAGUGGUGGUGGUGCCCCUGAUGUCCUACAGUGACCUGGAGACCCCGGUCACGGGCUUCACAGAAGAGAAGAGUUUUAAGGGGGGAGCUGAAGGACAGUGAGAUGGCUUGGUGACUGGAGAACUGGAAGGAUUGUGGCAUCAGAAGCACAUAGGAAUGUGAAACCAGGCCUGGAUCCUGCUGACUGAGAAUCCUCCUGGCAUGGUGUGUCUCAGGGUCAGAGAAGAGCCAAGUGUACUUGUCUCAGGCAUUAGGACAACACUGACAAGUGGCAUGUGAAUAUAAGCAGCCUGGGAUUCAGAUGAGGGGAGGCGAAGGGUUCACGAAGAGAGCUGCAACGAGUGACUUCUAAGGGAGACAAACCAAACGCAAUUCUUUCUGAAUGAGCCUGGGGAAAGUUUCCUUUCGGACACCUCGGAGAGACCCACCAAUGUUCUGAUUUGGGCAAGUCGCUGGUGCCACAUAUGCAGAUACCUGCUAAGUCUGGAUACGAGAGGGGAGACAAACUUCACGUGAGGGGCUUUCAGACAGCUGGGGAGAGGCCCUGGGUCAGAGGAAAGAAUGCUGGCUCAAGCUCCGAGCCAAGGUUGAGAUUCCCUUGGCAUAGGGCUAAUCUGCCAGUGGACACAGAGGAGGUCCAACCACCAGAGACAGCAUAAGCCGUUCUAACAGCUGGCUGUUGGCAAACACAGCUGAGCACAGCUUCCCAUUGUCUAAUCUCUAACAAGGCAGGUAGGCUGGAGGAAGGAUAGUCCCGUGGAUAGGGGGUUAGGCCGGGGCUUAUGCCUCGUUCUGCCUCAGAGUUCCUGUGUCACUUUGGCCCAGGCCUUCAAAGGUAUUUGAACACGUAUCUCUCAUUAAUUUCAAUGGGAGUGGGGGCUCUUAAAUACCUUCCAGGAUCUGGGUCCUUGUCUCUCGGGGGCCUGAUUCCAACACGGAGGCGGAACCAUCGAGUUUGUUGCUAUAAAACAUAGCGGGGGGGUUAGUUUGCUGUCUGCCUCACCUAGAGUUCUCCUGCUGUGUCACAAGCCCAGGAGGCCCCUUUGAAGCCCCAGAGGGGAAAAAGCAUCGCUUUCCUGCAGCGCAUGCAAGGGAUAGUUCAGAGAGUCCUCCUGGAUCUAACAGGACUUUAAGGGCCAGAUUCUGGCACCCUUAGCCUGAACCAUAUAUUACAAAUAGCCUCACUGAAGUCAGUGGAGUAAGGUGCUAUUCAGCACAAGUAAAGAUACCAGAA